UACGUAGGGGACAAGCGUUGUCCGGAUUUAUUGGGCGUAAAGAGCGUGUAGGCGGCUUUACAGGUCCGUUGUGAAAACUUGAGGCUCAACCUCGAGACGCCGGUGGAAACCGUAAAGCUAGAGUCCGGAAGAGGAGAGUGGAAUUCCUGGUGUAGCGGUGGAAUGCGCAGAUAUCAGGAGGAACACCGAUAGCGAAGGCAGCUCGCUGGGACGGUACUGACGCUGAGGCGCGAAAGCGUGGGGAGCGAACAGG
rnacentral:rRNA from 1 species